AUUUCUGAACUAAUGUCUUAAAGCCUGUAUUCAUUGUCAUUUGAGGUCACUUAAAGCUCUGUAAUGUUUAGCCAUGCCUAUUGACAACUCUGCCUUAGCCUUCACGUCCUGCUUUUAUAGAUCUUAAAGAUCAACUGAAGCAGGAUAGUUCCAGGUUUUCUCAGGUUUUUUUCUGGCAUGUCUUCAGCCCUUGGCCUGUGCUUGGCCUCUUGGAUUCCCAGAACAGGCAAGAACUUUUAAAAGCCUUCAUUCUCUCAAGUAUCUCCUUCCCAAAACUCUGUCUUCCCAGGUUUGUUUGUCUAUUUUUUCCCCAAAUAAUUACUUCUUGCCUCAGGCAACAGCAGCUAAUUCAUUUUCAUUUAAAUUUCUGACAAAGGUCACCUGAGAAGCUACCUCAUCUCUGGGUAAGAUCAAAAGUAAAUAAAACAAAGGAAAUCCUUUGAGCUAAUCCUUCAAGGAACCACCAGACAAGUCACAGAACACUACUGCAAUUCUUCAAAAAGAAGGUCUGUAUUGUUCCCGUUGGUACCUGCAACCUGCACCAGAAAUGUGGGCUACUGUCUUCAAGGCCACCAUUGAGCUGGGGGGAUUGGAGGGUGGUAACAAGAUGACUUAAAAUACCACAGCGCUAUUUGACAAAAUUCAGCAGCUUUGUUCUUCUUUAAGCUGGAGUGCAGUAACAUGAUGAUAGCUCACUGUAAUCUUGAACUUAUGGGAUCAAGCAAUCCUCCUGUCUCAGCCCCCUAAGAUGGGACUACAGAAAAUGCAAUGUUUCCUGAGACACAUGGAGUAUAAAAUAAUCAAUCCCUUACUUAUAAUAAGCAUAUGAUAUGUUCAAAGACUUUCAAAAUUUUCAAUUGGAAAAAAGCCUAGUAUUUGCUAGUGCUGAUGACACCAGGAAGAUAAGCUUCAAACCUGCCUUUGGAGAGAGUCAAUAGCAGAAUUCUGGAUGACAUGUGACUGGAAGUAAUACUUUUUCUAUCAUGGAUUAUUAAAAACAAUGAAUGCCUCAUGAGAAAGAAAUAACAAUUGAAUUGGUAGAGAACCCUAAUCCCCGUCGCAGGAUGUGUGACAGCGGUGUGGCUCAUUUGUUUGGCCACCAUGCACACUCACCCAUUGUGGGAGGAGGAGCACACAGAUGGGCAGGUGUAGGAACUGGGGCAAAUGCCCCUGGGCUCCAGCACCAUGGCAGUGUCCAGGUGUGGGAGCCUGUGACUCAUGAUGCCCAAGAGGGCAUUUGUUACAGUGUGCUCCUUUAGACUUGCCCUCUGUGGACAGCUUAAGUGUUAACCAGUUCAGUGACCUCUUGGUACCCAGGUCCUUCUCCAGCGUCCAGGAAGAAUCGAGUCUCACACAGACUUGAAGGAUGAUAUGUGAGGGUUUUAUUGAGUGGUGGAGGUGGCUCUCAGUGGGGUGGAUGGGGAGCUGGAAAGGGGAUGGAGUGGAAAGAUGAUUUUCCCCUGAAGCCUGACCAUCCAUCUUCUCUCUGACUGCCCCCAGCCAAACUCCUCUCGGCAUUUAGACAUUCCUUUUCUUCUCAAUGACAUGCAGUUCCGCCUUUCUUCUACUCUUCUGUUCAUCUCACCAUCUGCUUGUGUGCUCAUCUGCUUGUGGAGUCUAGGGAUUAGGGUUUAUAUGUGUACAGGAUAUGCGGGUGUGGCAGGUCAAAUGGCAACUUUUGGGUUCAAAAACAGGAAUUCCUGCUCCAAUUUAGGGUCAUGGGUUUCCAGGCUUGAGAAUAGGGCAUCUUCAGGGAAAUCAUCCUCUUUUUCUCCAUAUUUCCCUGUCUCCUGUCCAUAUCACAAUCAUAUUUUAUAUUUGUGAUUCCAUAUUGUGUAAUAAAUGAAUUGUAAUUUUCUUAUGUGCAAGAUCUCAUUUGAAAGUUACCUCGCUGUAUAGCAUCUACACAGUAGUCCACAGAGCAAAUUAACUCCUCUGUGUAGUGCCCUAUAAGAUUGUGGUAAAUGUGUGUUUGUUGGGGUGUGGUUAUAAAAGAGAGAACAUUUUUUCUCUUUUGGUGCCCAGAAUUGAGCUCAAAAUGUUUCCAACGUGAAAGAUGUUCCCAUCCUUGAGGGUGGGAGACAAAAAUAAGCAAAUUAACAAAAACUUUCAUUAGUCUUUAUUAAGAAAAUAAAUAAUGUAUUGGCUAAAAAGAAUAGUUUAUAUCAUUUCAAAAGUUGAAAUACAAAAAAUGAAUGAUUAUUAAUUUUUAAACUAAUAUUGUAAGUAUGUGAUUACAAAAGGAGCAAUAAACAACAGUAUGUAAUGUAUUGAAUUAAUGAAGCCAUAAUGUAUAGAUAACUUGAAAUGUAAUAAUAAUGUUAUUUAUUAUACAUUGUUAAAUAAAUAUAAAUGUACCUUAUUUGAACUAUU
rnacentral:lncRNA from 1 species